rnacentral:rRNA from 1 species
AGUGAACGCUGGCGGUAGGCCUAACACAUGCAAGUCGAACGGCAGCACAGUAAGAGCUUGCUCUUACGGGUGGCGAGUGGCGGACGGGUGAGGAAUACAUCGGAAUCUACUUUUUCGUGGGGAUAACGUAGGGAAACUUACGCUAAUACCGCAUACGACCUACGGGUGAAAGCAGGGGAUCUUCGGACCUUGCGCGAUUGAAUGAGCCGAUGUCGGAUUAGCUAGUUGGCGGGGUAAAGGCCCACCAAGGCGACGAUCCGUAGGCGGUCUGAGAGGAUGAUCGGCCACACUGGAACUGGGACACGGUCCAGACUCCUACGGGAGGCAGCAGUGGGGAAUAUUGGACAAUGGGCGCAAGCAUGAUCCAGCCAUACCGCGUGGGUGGAGAAGGCCUUCGGGUUGUAAAGCCCUUUUGUUGGGAAAGAACAGCAGCAGGUUAAUACCCCGCUGUUCUGACGGUACCCAAAGAAUAAGCACCGGCUAACUUCGUG